UUGCUUCAGCAGCACAUAGACUCAAAUUGGAAUAAUACAGAGAAGAUUAGCAUGGCAGCCCCGGCAUUCCAUAUCAUUAAAAAAACCACAACAAUUUAU
ensembl:snRNA U6 U6 spliceosomal RNA